rnacentral:rRNA from 1 species
UUGACCUCGGAUCAGGUAGGGAUACCCGCUGAACUUAAGCAUAUCAAUAAGCGGAGGAAAAGAAACCAACAGGGAUUGCCCCAGUAACGGCGAGUGAAGCGGCAAGAGCUCAAAUUUGAAAGCUGGCUCCUUCGGGGUCCGCAUUGUAAUUUGCAGAGGAUGCUUCGGGAGCGGUCCCCAUCUAAGUGCCCUGGAACGGGACGUCAUAGAGGGUGAGAAUCCCGUAUGGGAUGGGGUGUCCGCGCCCGUGUGAAGCUCCUUCGACGAGUCGAGUUGUUUGGGAAUGCAGCUCUAAAUGGGUGGUAAAUUUCAUCUAAAGCUAAAUAUUGGCCGGAGACCGAUAGCGCACAAGUAGAGUGAUCGAAAGAUGAAAAGCACUUUGAAAAGAGAGUUAAAAAGCACGUGAAAUUGUUGAAAGGGAAGCGCUUGCGACCAGACUCGCUCGCGGGGUUCAGCCGGCAUUCGUGCCGGUGUAUUUCCCCGCGGGCGGGCCAGCGUCGGUUUGGGCGGUCGGUCAAAGGCCCUCGGAAGGUAACGCCCCCAGGGGCGUCUUAUAGCCGAGGGUGCAAUGCGACCUGCCUAGACCGAGGAACGCGCUUCGGCUCGGACGCUGGCAUAAU